rnacentral:rRNA from 1 species
GUCCACGCCGUAAACGAUGGUCACUAGGUGUAUGCGGUAUCGACCCCGCAUGUGCCGCAGCUAACGCAAUAAGUGACCCGCCGUGGGGAGUACGGCCGCAAGGUUGAAACUCAAAGGAAUUGACGGGGGCCCCGCACAAGCGGUGGAGCAUGGGGAUUAAUUCGUCAUUAACCGAAGAACCUUACCAGGGUUUGACAUCCGCGGAAAGUCCGUGAAAGCGGUACCCUCCGGGGCAACUCGGACCGCGAGACAGGUGUUGCAUGGCUGUCGU